rnacentral:rRNA from 1 species
UACGGAGGGUGCAAGCGUUAUCCGGAUUCACUGGGUUUAAAGGGUGCGUAGGUGGGUCUGUAAGUCAGUGGUGAAAUCUCCAAGCUUAACUUGGAAACUGCCAUUGAUACUAUAGGUCUUGAAUAUCCUGGAGGUGAGCGGAAUAUGUCAUGUAGCGGUGAAAUGACUUAGAUAUGACAUAGAACACCAAUUGCGAAGGCAGCUCACUACGGGAUUAUUGACACUGAGGCACGAAAGCGUGGGGAUCAAACAGG